UGAGGAAUUUUCUGCAAUGGGCGAAAGCCUGACAGAGCAAUACCGCGUGAGGGAUGAAGGCUUACUGAGUUGUAAACCUCUUUUUUCAAGGAAGAAGAUCUGACGUUACUUGAAGAAUAAGCAUCGGCUAACUCCGUGCCAGCAGCCGCGGUAAGACGGAGGAUGCAAGUGUUAUCCGGAAUCACUGGGCGUAAAGCGUCUGCAGGUGGUUUUUUAAGUCUACUGUUAAAACUUGAGGCUUAACCUCAAAGCAGCAGUGGAAACUAGAAGACUAGAGUAUAGUAGGGGUAGAGGGAAUUUCCAGUGGAGCGGUGAAAUGCGUAGAUAUUGGAAAGAACACCGAUGGCGAAGGCACUCUACUGGGCUAUUACUGACACUCAGAGACGAAAGCUAGGGGAGC
rnacentral:rRNA from 1 species